rnacentral:rRNA from 1 species
AUUGAACGCUGGCGGCAGGCCUAACACAUGCAAGUCGAGCGGAUGAAGGGAGCUUGCUCCUGGAUUCAGCGGCGGACGGGUGAGUAAUGCCUAGGAAUCUGCCUGGUAGUGGGGGAUAACGUCCGGAAACGGGCGCUAAUACCGCAUACGUCCUGAGGGAGAAAGUGGGGGAUCUUCGGACCUCACGCUAUCAGAUGAGCCUAGGUCGGAUUAGCUAGUUGGUUGGGUAAAGGCCUACCAAGGCGACGAUCCGUAACUGGUCUGAGAGGAUGAUCAGUCACACUGGAACUGAGACACGGUCCAGACUCCUACGGGAGGCAGCAGUGGGGAAUAUUGGACAAAGGGCGAAAGCCUGAUCCAGCCAUGCCGCGUGUGUGAAGAAGGUCUUCGGAUUGUAAAGCACUUUAAGUUGGGAGGAAGGGCAGUAAGUUAAUACCUUGCUGUUUUGACGUUACCAACAGAAUAAGCACCGGCUAACUUCGUG